CCGUUCCCGAACCCCCUCUCUCUCCCAAUCUCUGCUCCACUCUUUCAUUCUCCUCUCUCUCUCUCUCUCCCUUUCAAUGACUGGAAUUUAGGGAUGGUACUCUCUCUCUCUCCAUCUUUGUCUCUCUCACUUUCUCUUUCAAUGGGUGGAAUUUAGGUAGUAGCCAUGGCAGCGGCAGCCAUAUCCAUUAUUGUCGAUGGCCGCCGACAAUUUUAUGUUAGUUGUUUGAAGAAAUGCUUCAAUCAAGAACCUUCAUAGAUAAAACCAUGUUACAGGUCCUCUGCUUCAACCUGACUUAUUUUGCUUGCAGGAACUUACGAGAUCCCUAUCUUGUGGGGACACUGGCACCUGAGCUAGCAAGCUUCCUCGCAUUAGAUCUUUCUUUUCUUUUAACAGUACUUUGGCCUUAGAGAGGAACAAGUGUACUCAUCAUCAUAUAAACCAAUGAUGGCCAUAAAUAUCUUAAGCCAAAUCUACAACCAGAACAUAUUGCACCUUGGUUGAAGGAGUAUACGGUGAUGCUUCUCCUCCUUUCUUUGCAUUUUUCUUUUCACAUCGCAUGCAAGUUUAUUGUUGAAGUUCAGAUUUCUUGCAUGCCUAUUCUACUAUGUAUAAGAAAUUUUAGAUCUAACAUUUCCAUACAGUUAUAAUGAUAUUCAUAAAUUAAGAUCCACUGUUAUUGAUCAUGUGUUUUCUGACUUGACUGACUUAAAUGUAGGAUGGAAACAUAAAGACAUGUUUGUAAAAUUUGUGCCUAUUCCUGAAGUUAACAAUUUCCAUGUCAAGAUUGUUGUUGCUAACAGCCUCCAUGAUGUGGUUUUUAACUCUGAAAAAAAUGGUUUGUGCCCACCAACAUCUCUUUUUGGAUUUUUCUUUGACAAUUCAUGAAUUUUAGUAGAUAAAA